GAGACGUCAUGCCGGAGAAUUAUGAGAAUGUGACCUCACUGGGGUUUCCAGUUUCCCAACCUGAUGUGAUCUCCCAGCAGGAACAAGGGGAAGAGCCAUGGGUCCCAGACCUCCAGGGUUCAGAGGAAAGAGCGAUCCUGAGAGUUCCCUGCACAGAUGAGGAAACAUUAAACCAACUCAGAAUCUAUCAAGCCUUUCUGUUCAUCUGAGAAUCCACACAGGGGACCGGCCAUACGAAUGCAGAGAGUGUGGGAAAUGCUUCACUAGCAGCUCAUACCUUUCUAAACAUCAGAGAAUCCACACAGAUGACAGGCCCUACGAAUGCAGAGAGUGUGGGAAAAGAUUCACUCGCAGAUCAGGCCUUUUUCAACAUCAGAGAAUCCACACAGGGGAGAGGCCCUAUGAAUGCAGUGAGUGUGGAAAAACCUUCAAUCGCAGCUCGCAUCUUAUUAGUCAU